rnacentral:rRNA from 1 species
UACGUAGGGAGCAAGCGUUGUCCGGAAUCAUUGGGCGUAAAGCGCGCGUAGGUGGCCCCAUAAGUCCGCUGUGAAAGUCAAAGGCUCAACCUUUGAAAGCCGGUGGAUACUGUGGGACUAGAGUACGGAAGAGGCGAGUGGAAUUCCUGGUGUAGCGGUGGAAUGCGCAGAUAUCAGGAGGAACACCAAUAGCGAAGGCAGCUCGCUGGGACGUUACUGACGCUGAGGUGCGAAAGCGUGGGGAGCGAUCCGG